UACGAAGGGGGCUAGCGUUGUUCGGAAUUACUGGGCGUAAAGCGCGCGUAGGCGGGUUUGAAAGUCGAUUGUGAAAGCCCAGGGCUCAACCUUGGAAUUGCAGUCGAAACUUCAAAUCUUGAAUGUCUGAGAGGAUGGCGGAAUUCCCGGUGUAGUAGUGAAAUACGUAGAUAUCGGGAAGAACACCUGAGGCGAAGGCGGCUAUCUGGCGGUACAUUUGACGCUGAGGCGCGAAAGCGUGGGGGAGCAAACAGG
rnacentral:rRNA from 1 species